GACGAACGCUGGCGGCGUGCCUAAUACAUGCAAGUUGAGCGCUGAAGGUUGGUACUUGUACCAACUGGAUGAGCAGCGAACGGGUGAGUAACGCGUGGGGAAUCUGCCUUUGAGCGGGGGACAACAUUUGGAAACGAAUGCUAAUACCGCAUAAAAACUUUAAACACAAGUUUUAAGUUUGAAAGAUGCAAUUACAUCACUCAAAGAUGAUCCCGCGUUGUAUUAGCUAGUUGGUGAGGUAAAGGCUCACCAAGGCGAUGAUACAUAGCCGACCUGAGAGGGUGAUCGGCCACAUUGGGACUGAGACACGGCCCAAACUCCUACGGGAGGCAGCAGUAGGGAAUCUUCGGCAAUGGACGAAAGUCUGACCGAGCAACGCCGCGUGAGUGAAGAAGGUUUUCGGAUCGUAAAACUCUGUUGGUAGAGAAGAACGUUGGUGAGAGUGGAAAGCUCAUCAAGUGACGGUAACUACACAGAAAGGGACGGCUAACUACGUG
rnacentral:rRNA from 1 species